UACGUAGGGUGCAAGCGUUGUCCGGAAUUAUUGGGCGUAAAGAGCUCGUAGGCGGUUUGUCGCGUCUGCUGUGAAAACUCGGGGCUUAACCCCGGGCCUGCAGUGGGUACGGGCAGACUAGAGUGCGGUAGGGGAGACUGGAAUUCCUGGUGUAGCGGUGAAAUGCGCAGAUAUCAGGAGGAACACCGGUGGCGAAGGCGGUGAUCUGGGCCGGCACUGACGCUGAGGAGCGAAAGCGUGGGUAGCAAACAGG
rnacentral:rRNA from 1 species